GGACAUGUUACCCAGGCUUGGAUUGCCAAGAGGCCCAACCUGGACUGCAAGUCUAUUACCAGCAAUUGCAGCUAUACUGCAGAUCAUACUUGAGUCCAACCAGACCUUCAGAGCUGGCAUCUUCUUUGCAAGAGGAACAAAGGAGGAAUCAAGAGGGUGUGGCAGCUGAUGUUAACAGAAGGAGAGACAAACACCCUAAUUAUCAGGGACACUGAGAUCCCAGCAACAGUGGAAUCCAGUCGUGUUGGUAGCAUAUCCAGGCCCCAGAACAUAUGGGGAGUAGGCCAUGUGUGCACAGAGCCUGGACAAAUGAUGUCUGGCCACUGGUAACUUGUGGUGCGUGUAUUGGGCCCAGGCAAUAAUAAACUGAUAACAGGUAUGGUAGAAGGAAGCAAUAAUGGUAAGUAUGAAAAUACUGUGAAUGUCUUGACUCUCUUAUUACAGCACAUUUUUGCUGCACUGCUGUUCAUUUUUCAGAACCUAUUUCCAGCAGUUUAAUUUGACUAAGAAGCUUUCUUAAAUGCUCAAGUCUCAUUUCCUUAAUCUUCUUUAAAUUAGUGGCUCACACUUAAAAGAAGGGUGAUAGUGGGAAAUGUUCUGUGAAAAAAUAUUCCAUCAUUGAUUCUUUC